CGUGACAGUUUUAUUUUCUCGUCAGCAUUAAAGACCCCAAUUUGACUCCAUAGGUCGGGCCUGGUUAGUACUUGGAUGGGAGACCGCCUGGGAAUACCAGGUGCUGUAAGCU
rnacentral:rRNA from 1 species